rnacentral:rRNA from 1 species
CCUACGGGGGGCAGCAGUGAGGAAUAUUGGUCAAUGGACGAGAGUCUGAACCAGCCAAGUAGCGUGAAGGAUGACUGCCCUAUGGGUUGUAAACUUCUUUUAUAUGGGAAUAAAACGUUCCACGUGUGGGAUUUUGUAUGUACCAUAUGAAUAAGGCUCGGCUAACUCCGUGCCAGCAGCCGCGGUAAUACGGAGGAUCCGAGCGUUAUCCGGCUUUAUUGGGUUUAAAGGGAGCGUAGGUGGAUUGUUAAGUCAGUUGUGAAAGUUUGCGGCUCAACCGUAAAAUUGCAGUUGAAACUGGCAGUCUUGAGUACAGUAGAGGUGGGCGGAAUUCGUGGUGUAGCGGUGAAAUGCUUAGAUAUCACGAAGAACUCCGAUUGCGAAGGCAGUUCACUGGACUGCAACUGACACUGAGGCUCGAAAGUGUGGGUAUCAAACAGGAUUAGAUACCCCAGUAGUC